AAUAAACGUUGGCGGCGUGCUUAACACAUGCAAGUCGAGCGAGAAAGGUCUUCGGACUGAGUACAGCGGCAAACGGGUGAGUAACACGUGGGAAUCUGCCUUUUAGUGGAGAAUACCCUCGAGAAAUCGAGGUUAAUACUGCAUAAGUCUCGAAAGAGAGAAAGAUGGCCUCUUUGCUGUCGCUAGAAGAUGAGCCUGCGUCCUAUUAGCUAGUUGGUAGGGUAAAGGCCUACCAAGGCAAUGAUGGUUAGCCGACCUGAGAGGGUGUACGGCCACACUGGAACUUAGACACGGUCCAGACUCCUACGGGAGGCAGCAGUGAGGAAUAUUGCGCAAUGGGCGAAAGCCUGACGCAGCGACGCCGCGUGGAGGAAGAAGGUCUUCGGAUCGUAAACUUCUGUUAAGUGGGAAGAAAAGCCAAGUUCUAAUACAGCUUGGUAAUGACGGUACCACUAGAGAAAGCACCGGCUAACUUCGUGCCAGCAGCCGCGGUAACAC
rnacentral:rRNA from 1 species